AACCUACGGUGGAUAGGUAAUGAACAUUUAGGUGCGUACCAAUAUGAUUAUUCUUGUUUUAGUAGAUAGUCAAUUGUAGUAAGUAAUAUAUAGGAAUAGAUGAAUUCCAGGAGAUUAAAGUAAAGAAAUUAUUUACGAUAUGAGUAUUCUCGUUCGAAAAUACUUGUGUGAUUACGUUAGAAGGUUAAUACAGCUGGAACAUAACAAUAAAUAUAGGCGUUUACUUACGUUAUUCGAAGUGACGAUAGAACUUCGUAAAGCGACAACGGCGGAAUGGGUACGACACAAAGAAUAUAAUCAACUACACUGACGACUAGGGUAAGUGUCGACGGAUCGAUGAACGGAUGGAAGUAUACGCACGUAUGGAUAGCAAUAUUUGAUACCAGAGGCCCCAGGGCUUCUCAAAUUUGUAUACAACUGUUCCAAACCAAACCUUAUCACGGUUCGGUCCAUGUUCUUAAAUUAUUUGGACCAUAAGAAAUACUCGGACACAAAAUUUUUAAAUUUAAAUUCUGAAGUGAACAGCAAGCAUUAAGCAAUAAAAACACAAAUCACUAGAAUAUGUUCGCAUUUUCAAUAUAAUUUUGAGACUAUUAAGGAUAUUAAGUUUAACUUUGAAGAAUAAUUAAUAAUAAAUCUUGAAGAAUGAGAAUCAUUUUUAAUAAAUAUUAUAUUAUACUAAAAACAUACACUCUGAUAACAUAUGAAUUUGCAUGUAAGUAUAGGAAAAAUAUGGAUACCUAUUAACUCACGUAUUAUGAUUACUCUAUUACAUUAGAAUAUUUUUAAACUACGGUGGAUAGGUUAUGAACAUUUAGGUGCGUACCAAUAAGAUUAUUCUUGUUUUAGCAGAUUAUCAAUUGUAGUGGGUAAUAUAUAGGAAUAGAUGAAUUCCAGGGGAUUAAAGUAAAGAAAUUAUUUACGAUAUGAGUAUUCUCGUUCGAAAAUACUUGUGUGANUAGGAAAAAUAUGGAUACCUAUUAACUCACGUAUUAUGAUUACUCUAUUACAUUAGAAUAUUGUUAACCUACGGUGGAUAGGUAAUGAACAUUUAGGUGCGUUACCUAUAAAAUUAUUCUUGUUUUAGCAGAUUAUCAAUUGUAGUAAGUAAUAUGAAGGAAUAGAUGAAUUCCAGGAGAUUAAAGUAAAGAAAUUAUUUACGAUAUGAGUAUUCUCGUUCGAAAAUACUUGUGUGAUUACGUUAGAAGGUUAAUACAGCUGGAACAUAACAAUGAAUAUAGGCGUUUACUUACGUUAUUUGAGGUAACGAUAGAACUUCGUAAUUGACAACGGCGGAAUGGGUACAAAACAAAAAGGAAAAACAACUACACUGACCGCUAGGGUAAGUGUCGACGGAUCGAUGAACAAAUGGAAGUUUACGCACGUAUGGAUAGCAAUAUUUGACACCAGAGGCCCCAGGGCUUCCCAAAUUUCUAUAAAACUGUUCCAAACCAAACCUUAUCACGGUUCGGUCCAUGUUCUUAAAUUAUUUGGACCAUAAGAAAUACUCGGACACGAAAUUAUUAUAUUUUAAAUCUAAAGUGAACGGCAAGCAUCAAGCAAUAAAAACACAAAUCACUAGUAUAUGUUCGCAUCUUCAAUAUAAUUUUGAGACUAUUAAGGAUAUUAAGUUUAACUUUGAAGAAUAAUUAAUAAUAAAUCUUGAAGAAUGAGAAUCAUUUUAAUAAAUAUUAUAUUAUACUAAAAACAUACACUCUGAUAACAUAUGAAUUUGCAUGUAAGUAUAGGAAAAAUAUGGAUACCUAUUAACUCACGUAUUAUGAUUA
rnacentral:lncRNA from 1 species